rnacentral:rRNA from 1 species
CCCUUAGACGUUCUGGGCCGCACGCGCGCUACACUGACACAGGCAACGAGCUUUCCUUUACCGAAAGGUAUGGGUAAUCUUUUGAAACUGUGUCGUGCUGGGGAUAGAUCCUUGCAAUUUUUGAUCUUAAACGAGGAAUUCCUAGUAAGCGCGAGUCAUCAACUCGCGUUGAUUACGUCCCUGCCCUUUGUACACACCGCCCGUCGCACCUACCGAUUGGAUGGUCCGGUGAAGCCUCGGGAUUGUGGUUCUUGCCGCUUUAUUGUGGCGUGACCGCGAGAACUUGUCUAAACCUUAUCAUCUAGAGGAAGGUGAAGUCGUAACA